GCCCGGUUGAAAAGGACAGCGGAGAUGCCGAUGUUCCUGCGGAGGGUCAGGCUCACCGCGGAGCGCAGCACGGAGGACAACUGGAACAGCCGGUGAAGUGCCAUCUGAAGGAGAGAAGGCUUUGUUGCUAAGGUCAAGUUUUUGAGUUGAAUUCAGAAUCCCAUGAAGAUCCAGCGAUCUCAAGAGAUGGCGAGCCUCCCAGCUUGAUCUCCGAGUCACUGAAUCCUGUCCACUGAAGUGCCGUUGUCCUACCUGCCUGUGGUAGGAUUGAACCAGUCACCCAACUGGUUGCUGUAUACUUGACACUGAUUUGACUUAUUUGACGCUGACUAAACACUUACCACCAGAAUCUGAAAGAACUGAACCUUGCAAACUAAAAGAAAACCAGCUGAACAACAUAUUAAAGGACAAAAGGGCCCAAUUUAUGUAUUUGUGUUAAGGUAAUUUUGUAUUGGUUGUUCAUUCAGUUACAAUACAACAGUUAAACUGUAUCAUAUCAGUGUGUGUUUGGUCAUUGCACUUUGACUUUGCUCUUAGACGGACCUAGAAUCUGCGAGGUGAACAUACCCAGUAGUGGGUUACAGUAGCUUACUGUUGUAGCUAAUAGAGAUCCAUGGUGGUGAGCUCUUGGUGCUCAAACUACAAAAGAAAACAACCUGUCAAGUGCCUAGUUCCAACUUUCAAGCUAUGAUUGCAUAAUUACUGUUCAGGGGACGGGUUCUGCAAACAUACAUGACUUAUGUCUUUUCCUCCCCUUCAAACAGGAAGGUCUUAGGUCAAAAUAUUCUUCACACACGAAGAACUGGAGCCUGUAAGUGAACAAAGCUGUGAAGGUAAGUAGACACUGAUCCGACACAGCUACCCCGUACACCUUCUGUUUACUGGAAUAUAGCCGGAAUUUCUAUCACACGACUCUUGAAGUCGACCAGGUUGGUACGUUGAGUCGAAAUGCUCUUUUAAAGUCUUUGUUCCACACGCAUGAUUGCAUAGUUGGACUGGUGCCACGAAACCCAUAUGUAAGACGUGUGAAGGAUACAAUCAGGUGAAGUGGAGAACCUUUAAACACGUUCACUUGUUUACACGCUGGAGCAGUUUUUUUUUUCAUUUUAUUUGUUUAUAUUUUGUGCAUGUCUUUUUUUUUUAGCUCACUGGAGUCAAAUAAAAUAUUCAGGUUUCAUCCCUGCAAGCUAAAGACACUCCAGAUGGAAUUUUUCUGAAUGUUCUCUCUCUCUCUCUCUCUCUCUCUGAGGAAGCAAGUGGCUGUAACCCAGGGAUAUUUGUACAUACAGUAUAUUGGUGCUUUUAUUUUCACAGAACUGAGAAAGGAAGGAAGGCUGCGUAUGAAAGGAAGUGCUGGAGCGUUGCGUACACGUGCGGCGUAAUUUCGACCGAGUCUUAGGUGCAGCAUCUUUAAAAUGUGGUCGUAAACACGGUGGUUACGGCUGAUCUGAGGAGUCCGGUAUAAAUCCUAGCAGCUGUAAUUAAAACCGAAUGAGACAGGAAUAUGGAGAUGAGGACAUGCAGGGAAACUGGCUGAAAUUGGUUAUACUGUACUUGACAAACUGCAAUUUAUGAAAAUGUGCCGUGGUGAGCGUGUAAGAUAAAUGAUGAAAAUUACAACAGGAAGGAAUCCCUUUUUUACUUACUUGACAUUCAAAAUGGAUUGAAUGAUUUCUUGCAGGAGACAUAUUGCUUGUGUGAAUGUUGAGUAUUUCAGUAGUCGUUGCAGUCCUGUUGAUGCGAGGCGAGAUGGGAGAUGAAACAGAUGACACAGUUAAAAUGGUUGAUCUUUUCAAGUUCUUCUACUGAUUAUCAAACUGUUCUCAGAGCUGGCAGCAUAUUUUGCAGUUUGAAUUCGCUUCAGUAAAGUGCUUGAUAUUCUUUUUUUGUUGUUUUCCUUGUUUUUACACUUGCUAUCCCCCAAAGCAAAUAUUACUGCUAAUGUGAGGCAUUGAGGCUCCAGUUGGGCAGAUUAAAACAAACAAAAAAAAAGUUUAAAACUUACAAACGUGGAUUAUCUUCUCUAGGAACAGGAAAAAUGUCUUGGCUUUUAUGAAAUACAGAAAUACAGGUGCUGAACCUGCCCAAAGGCGUGAACACCUAAUAGCCCACCCAACAGUGUUAAAUAUGUGCCCUGUGCCAAAAAAGGUAAAUUUAUCUAAUCUGACCUGGCAGUCGGCUGCUUGUUGUAAUUUCAUGCAUAUUUUAGUCAAUGGAGUACAGUUACUGUUACAGUGCAGUACAGUUACCCCCCCCCCCCCCCCAUGGACUCUCAAUGAGAACAAGGAAAAACUACUUACAGCCUACUCAAAGAGGGAUCCCCUCCGGGACAGUCAGCUGGUGGUGGUGCCAGAAGUGGGCCGAUGGUGCGAUGGUGGGUGAGGGGAUGUCAUGUGGUCGAGGUAGAGGAGGUAUCUGUCGCAGUGAGUGGUGGUGUUACAGUCUGGAUUUGCCCCUCUUUCUCAUCUCACCACUUGAGUUUUUUACUGCUCCUCUCCUCAUCCUCAUCACUUUCUCUCUUUCUUUUUCUUUCAGGAAGUGGGUCCUGCUCUCUUUCCUCUGACGUUCCCUCAUCCUUAGCCUCAUCGCCGGCCUUACUGCUUCUCUCCUCAUCCUUGUCUUCUUCCUCUGACACUCCCUCAUCUUCAUCACUGUCCUCACUGUCCCAGUCGUUGUCUGAGUCGCUGUCUGCAAAUUCAUCCCACCAUCUGAAUCUUCGACUGCUUCUCUCCUCUUCCUCAUCAUCUUCUUCACGAGGUCGCCGCCUGGAUCCACUGGGCUGCGGUUGUUCUUGUGGAGCAGCGUGUGGAGCAAGGUGAGCCUCGUCGGCAGCCACGUUGUUGUCCUGCUGGAAGACCGGUCCAGGAUCUUCAGAUGGCGCCUCCUGAGGCGCUCCCGAAGACUCCCGCUGAUGUGACUUCAAGGACUCUGUGCAGGUCUUCCUCAAAGCUGAGCCACUCCUUCGUGUCAGACAUCUUUGGCCACUUUAUCCUCUCCUUCACAGGUUCAGGCUGUGGCAUCUGUGGAAAUGCUCCCUUGGGAUGUAGGUGACAAAGGUGCUGAGAAAUCCCCAGGGCUAUGGGGUGCAUCCUGGUUGGGGAUUUCCUGCGUCUCACCGGGUUCUAGACCUGUGUCUGCAACAGGGGCAUUUUACCUCUGGUGCUUUUCCAGUUGUGGUGGUUUGGAUGAGCCUUCUCCGUGUCCUGGUUCCUGUCCUGGCCAUAACCUCUCGGGAGACUCUGGGGGUGUUGCUUGUGUGGUACUUUAGUAGCUUGCUUGGUGUCCUCUUGCGAGUGCUGUGUAUGGGGUUGCUGGCCCCACACACCCACACCAGUCUUUCCUGGAGGUCAGCUGUUUUUCCAGCGUCACCCUUGUUUCUCGGUCGUCAUCAGUUUGGUGAUUUUCAUACAUCAGAGACAUCAUUUUAAAACAAUGAAAAUAAAUCGAAAAUCAAGAAAUCGUCAUUAAAAACUUACUAAAUUGCAGAAUGAAGAUAAAAGAUAAAAAAAAUGGAUGUUUUUUAUUAAUUGUAGUGUCUCUGCAAAACAGCUGGAAUCAUGCAUAAACAUCAUAGAUUACAUAAGAGUGUGUUCCAGCUCCCAGGAAGCGUUUUGUUGGAAGGAACUCCGGAUACACAAUUCAUUAACUUCAUGUUUGGUUUAUCCCAAGGACUUCCCCUCUGAAAACUAGAAGUACAACAUGUUUAUUGAAGCGCUAUCUGUCGUGUGUAAGUUGUUUCCUGUCUCUCCUCUCAUUGUCUUAACAUACACAUCAUGCCAGUGAAGUUGCCAUUGGAGACCAGAGCUUUUUUUUUAUUAUUAUUUGUUCAGUUGAACACAGAGGCUUUUUCUCUGCAAAGUGCCAGGAACCUGAAAGAUUUAAUCAAAGUACAGGAAGUCUCUGCUUUUAUUUUUAUUUAUUUAUUGAUACACGUUUCAACGAAUAUAAAUUAAAAAAUAAAAGUUGUUCCAUGUGCAGGACAAUAGCCAGCAUGCUGGUUUCUUGUCUUCCAUCUGUCAGCCCCCAUUUAGGUCGGAAAAAAAAACCAAGAAAAACUGAUGUGCAAAGAGGUUGUUGUUGACAGACUUCUGAAUGUAUCAAACAUUAACAACUUGCAAUUAUAUUUUCUGUCCAGAGGUAAGUUCAUAUGGUGCUUAAGUAUGUUAUUGUGAUAGUAUGUUGUGUAUGUCAGGUUAUUCUGUGUGUUUAUGAACUUACAUUAAUGUUAUUGUAUGUAUGUUGUGUUGUAUGUCGGUAAGUGUGUUAUUAAAUGUGUCUAUGUUAUAGUAUGUUCUUCGUGUCAUGUUAUUGCGUGUUUAGGUACUCGCAUACACACAUACUCACACAGAUACAUCCAUACAUAUUAUUGUAUGUGUAUGUUACAGUAUGUUUUACAUGAACGCUUCCAUGUGUGUGGAGGCACAUGGACAUCAUGAGCUUUGAAGCACCAUGUUAACCAGGCACGGAGCUGACAGGAAAAACGUGCUGCUGUGGUCUCUUUUUCAUUAUGGAGAUGUGCAAACAAGGUUCUGUGUGUAGUGUUGUCAGGCUAACAUGUAGGAUGUUCAGAGUGUGGUCUUCAAAGCAAGUCAUUGUGUCUGGAGUCUGAGAAAAGGUGGCUGAGUGUGUGGUUAAGCAGAA